AUUGAACGCUGGCGGCAGGCCUAACACAUGCAAGUCGAGCGGAUGCAGGGCGCUUGCUCCUGGCUUCAGCGGAGGGCGGGUGUAUAAUGCCUAGGAAUCUGCCUGGUAGUGGGGUAUAACGUCCGGAGACGGGCGCUAAUACCGCAUACGUCCUGAGUGAGAACGUGGGGGAUCUUCGGACCUCUCGCUCUCAGAUGAGCCUAGGUCGGAUUAGCUAGUUGGUGGGGUAAAGGCCUACCAAGGCGACGAUCCGUAACUGGUCUGAGAGGAUGAUCAGUCACACUGGAACUGAGACACGGUCCAGACUCCUACGGGAGGCAGCAGUGGGGAAUAUUGGACAAUGGGCGAAAGCCUGAUCCAGCCAUGCCGCGUGUGUGAAGAAGGUCUUCGGAUUGUAAAGCACUUUAAGUUGGGAGGAAGGGGAGUAAGUUAAUACCUUGCUGUGUUGACGUUACCAAAAGAAUAAGCACCGGCUAACUUCGUG
rnacentral:rRNA from 1 species